rnacentral:rRNA from 1 species
CGUGUAGGCGGUUUGGUAAGUCAGAUGUGAAAGCCCUGGGCUUAACCCAGGAAGUGCAUUUGAUACUGCCAUUCUUGAGUAUGGGAGAGGAGAGUGGAAUUUCCAGUGUAGAGGUGAAAUUCGUAGAUAUUGGGAGGAACACCCGUGGCGAAGGCGACUCUCUGGACCAAUACUGACGCUGAGACGCGAAAGCGUGGGGAGCAAACA